rnacentral:piRNA from 1 species
UUCCAGGGAGGUCAGAAGAGGAUG